UCGAAUGUAAACAGACUUCCAAGAAAAUCCGCUAAGCAUAUUUUGCAGCUGCCCGUACCGCAAACCGACACAGGUAGUCGAGAAGAAUAUUCUAAGGUGCUCGAGAGAUUCAUGGCUAAGGAACUCGGCAAAAUAAACCUGUAACUUCGGGAGAAGGGUUGCCUCCUCUAGCAAUAGAGAGGUCGCAGAGAAAUGGCCCAGGCGACUGUUUAACAAAAACACAUGGCUAUGCGAAAUCGCAAGAUGAAGUAUAUGGCCUGACACCUGCCCGGUGCUGGAAGGUUAAGGGGGGAAGUUAGCAGCAAUGCGACGCUUUGAACUGAAGCCCCAGUAAACGGCGGCCGUAACUAUAACGGUCCUAAGGUAGCGAAAUUCCUUGUCGGGUAAGUUCCGACCUGCACGAAUGGUGUAACGAUCUGGGCGCUUCUCAGCCAUGAGCUCGGUGAAAUUGUAGUAACGGUGAAGAUGCCGUUUACCCGUCACGGGACGGAAAGACCCCAUGAACCUUUACUAUAGCUUCACAUUGAUAUUGGGAAGAUGAUGUGUAGGAUAGGCGGGAGGCAAUGAUCUGGUGGCGCUAGCUAUCAGGGAGUCAACGGUGAAAUACCGCCCUUUAUUUUUCCGAUAUCUAACCACCGCAAGGUGGGACAUUGUGUGGUGGGUAGUUUGACUGGGGUGGUCGCCUCCGAAAGUGUAUCGGAGGCUUUCAAAGGUAUGCUCAGUACGCUUGGUAACCGUACGUGGAGUGCAUUAGCAUAAGCAUGCUUGACUGUGAGACAGACAAGUCGAUCAGGCGCGAAAGCGGGAUAAAGUGAUCCGGUGGUUCUGCAUGGAAGGGCCAUCGCUCAAAGGAUAAAAGGUACUCUGGGAUAACAGGCUGAUCUCCCCCAAGAGCUCAUAUCGACGGGGAGGUUUGGCGCCUCGAUGUCGGCUCGUCACAUCCUGGGGCUGGAGAAGGUCCCAAGGGUUGGGCUGUUCGCCCAUUAAAGUGGCACGCGAGCUGGGUUCAGAACGUCGUGAGACAGUUCGGUCCCUAUCUGUGAUGGGCGCAGGAAGUUUGAGAGGCUCUGUCCUUAGUACGAGAGGACCGGGUUGGAGCAACCGCUGGUGUACCGGUUGUCAUGUCAGUGGCACUGCCGGGUAGCUAUGUUGCGACGGAAUAAGCGCUGAAAGCAUCUAAGCGCGAAAUCCACCUCGAGAUGAGACUUCCUUAUAAGGGCCGUCGUAGACUACGACGUUGAUAGGCUGCAGGUGUAAAGUCAGAAAUGGCAAAGCCGAGCAGUACUAAUUACCU
rnacentral:rRNA from 1 species